rnacentral:rRNA from 1 species
GAUGAACGCUGACAGAAUGCUUAACACAUGCAAGUCAACCUGAACUUCGGUUUGGGUGGCGGACGGGUGAGUAACGCGUAAAGAACUUGCCUCACAGAUAGGGACAACAUUUGGAAACGAAUGCUAAUACCUGAUAUUAUGAUUUUAGGGCAUCCUAGGAUUAUGAAAGCUAUAUGCGCUGUGAGAGAGCUUUGCGUCCCAUUAGCUAGUUGGAGAGGUAACGGCUCACCAAGGCGAUGAUGGGUAGCCGGCCUGAGAGGGUGAUCGGCCACAAGGGGACUGAGACACGGCCCUUACUCCUACGGGAGGCAGCAGUGGGGAAUAUUGGACAAUGGACCAAGAGUCUGAUCCAGCAAUUCUGUGUGCACGAUGAAGUUUUUCGGAAUGUAAAGUGCUUUCAGUUGGGAAGAAAAAAAUGACGGUACCAACAGAAGAAGUGACGGCUAAAUACGUG